rnacentral:rRNA from 1 species
ACCUACAGAAGAAGCACCGGCUAACUCCGUGCCAGCAGCCGCGGUAAUACGGAGGGUGCGAGCGUUAAUCGGAAUUACUGGGCGUAAAGCGCAUGCAGGCGGCCUGUUAAGUCAGAUGUGAAAGCCCGGGGCUUAACCUCGGAAUUGCAUUUGAAACUGGCAGGCUAGAGUCUUGUAGAGGGGGUAGAAUUUCAGGUGUAGCGGUGAAAUGCGUAGAGAUCUGAAGGAAUACCAGUGGCGAAGGCGGCCCCCUGGACAAAGACUGACGCUCAGAUGCGAAAGCGUGGGGAGCAAACAGGAUUAGAUACCCUGGUAG